CUCAACAGAGAAAAUGAGGACAGUGCUUUCGCGCUUGAUCCAUUCCACGCCUUCCAUUUCCAGGCUCAAUGUUGCGCAUAAUAUGCUAUGUGGAGGAUAGCCGGUGCAAAUUAAGUGUGUCAUGAGUAGGGCCACUGUUGUUUAUUUUAAUGAAGUUAGACCAUUGGAAGUAGAUAGAUUCGAGGCGCUUUGCAUCCAGUGGGCACAAUAUUAUCUAAAAGUUAGAAAUCAAAUAUAGGAUAUUAGGCAACUAUGUAACUUUAGGUUACUUAAUUAGUUUACAUACUUUGCAUUACAUUUCUUACAAUUGUUGUUUC